AUAUGAAAUAGCAAAAAUAAAGCAACAGGACCCACCUCUGGAAUGGAAAUCACUGGAAGAAAUAUGCACCAUGCUGGUAGCAACUGCAAGAACAUGUGGUAUUGAAAUAGUAAAAAAUUAGAUGCAAAGGAAUAUGGUGAUUUUCUAGCAGAAAGGAAAAGAUAGUGGAAGAACAGAAGAAACUACUGCAAGAAAAGCGAGAAGCUAAGAUGUUGAGAACUGCAUAGUGCAUUAUUAUAUUAGAAAUAGUUAGAUCAUUAUUUAUAGGUUAGUUGUUGAAUAUAAUAAUAAUAAUUUGAAAA